GAUGAACGCUGGCGGCGUGCCUAAUACAUGCAAGUCGAGCGAACAGACGAGGAGCUUGCUCCUCUGACGUUAGCGGCGGACGGGUGAGUAACACGUGGAUAACCUACCUAUAAGACUGGGAUAACUUCGGGAAACCGGAGCUAAUACCGGAUAAUAUAUUGAACCGCAUGGUUCAAUAGUGAAAGACGGUUUUGCUGUCACUUAUAGAUGGAUCCGCGCCGCAUUAGCUAGUUGGUAAGGUAACGGCUUACCAAGGCAACGAUGCGUAGCCGACCUGAGAGGGUGAUCGGCCACACUGGAACUGAGACACGGUCCAGACUCCUACGGGAGGCAGCAGUAGGGAAUCUGCCGCAAUGGGCGAAAGCUUGACGGAGCAACGCCGCGUGAGUGAUGAAGGUCUUCGGAUCGUAAAACUCUGUUAUUAGGGAAGAACAAAUGUGUAAGUAACUAUGCACGUCUUGACGGUACCUAAUCAGAAGGCCACGGCUAACUACGUG
rnacentral:rRNA from 1 species